ACCACUGAUCUAAGGGAACCACUGUAAAUGAUCUGUUCUUAUCAGUUUAAUAUCUGAUACGUCCUUUAUAAAAGGACUUCAUAUUACACAUGUUUGUGGAACAGUGUUGAAAGUGAAGCUUGAUCUCUUUGCUCCACGUAUUGAUCUCAUAUGUACUGUAGUGCUGCCAGGACCUGUGCACUCUUC